rnacentral:rRNA from 1 species
AUGCAAGUCGAACGGAAAGGCCCUUCGGGGUACUCGAGUGGCGAACGGGUGAGUAACACGUGGGUGAUCUGCCCUGCACUUUGGGAUAAGCCUGGGAAACUGGGUCUAAUACCGAAUACACCUCUUCAGCUGCAUGGUUGUUGGGGGAAAGCUUUUGCGGUGUGGGAUGGGCCCGCGGCCUAUCAGCUUGUUGGUGGGGUGAUGGCCUACCAAGGCGACGACGGGUAGCCGGCCUGAGAGGGUGACCGGCCACACUGGGACUGAGAUACGGCCCAGACUCCUACGGGAGGCAGCACUGAGGAAUAUUGCACAAUGGGCGCAAGCCUGAUGCAGCGACGCCGCGUGGGGGAUGACGGCCUUCGGGUUGUAAACCUCUUUCAGCACAGACGAAGCGCAAGUGACGGUAUGUGCAGAAGAAGCACCGGCCAACUACGUGCCAGCAGCCGCGGUAAUACGUAGGGUGCGAGCGUUGUCCGGAAUUACUGGGCGUAAAGAGCUCGUAGGUGGUUUGUCGCGUUGUUCGUGAAAACUCACAGCUUAACUGUGGGCGUGCGGGCGAUACGGGCAGACUGGAGUACUGCAGGGGAGACUGGAAUUCCUGGUGUAGCGGUGGAAUGCGCAGAUAUCAGGAGGAUCAUCGGUGUCAAAGUCGGGUCUCUGCACAGUAACUUACCCU